AUGGACCAAUCCAUCCCUUUUUCCCAUGCAUAUGCAUCGGACUCGGAUGACGAUGGUCCCGAUGAAGAAGUUGAUGAGGAGGGGUUCACGCCGAAGGAGGCCGAAGCAUUCAAGAAGGUAUUCGGGCGGGAUCACAAGACACCAUUGUUCAAGGAUCUUAGUCUCGCGGAUGAAGCCGUUGUGGAUGGUGGCAAAUGCAUAUCUCUUGGAGCUAGGCCAAGUUCUCACCGUGAUUUGGAAGACGGCAAGAACGGGAUAUAUCCCGGUUGUGAGUUUCAAUCCUUCUUGGAAUUGAAGAUGUGGCUCGACAACUACUCGGUUACACAUUAUCGUCCACAUAAAGUGGCCAACUCGGAUGUUAAUGUGCGUUACACGGUCAAAUGUGAAGUGCCAACAUGUCCAUGGAUUGUGCGUGCAAGGCCAUGGAAAGGAGGUCCCUGA
rnacentral:rRNA from 1 species